UUUUGUCCUCCUAAAAUCUCCCUUGAUCACUUAAUUACAACCCAAAAUCCAAGAGCUUUCCAUGUUGAUAUACCUUUAAUUCCAUGAAGAGUUUCUCACCUGGAAAUCUUGUAACUUCCCACUGUCACUCACAGGAGAGCUUCUGGAAAGCACGCGGGAAGACAAUGAAGCUCAGUUCAUGAGAUUGCAGCAUAGUGAAACAAAUCAGUCGCGACAUAAAAUUACGUAUCUUAUCUAGAUCUCGUUGGUAUCUUUUGUGAACCAAGUCAACUUUGUAAGGGACUAUGGGUUAGAAGUGGUGAAUUGGGCUGAUCCAGCUGAGAUUAUUGGACCUAUUGAGAUGUUGGAGUGUUUUAUUUGGGAUCCAGGC
rnacentral:lncRNA from 1 species